rnacentral:misc_RNA from 1 species
GCAAGUAGUAGCAAACAUUCGAAGGAUAAAGAACAUAAAAAGAAAAAAUUAAAAGGCAUUAGCGCUUCCGCAGGAAACAAUUCGUCUAAUGAUUUAAUAGAUGCGACUACAAGUAAUAAAACCAUUACAAGAACUGUUCAAGCACCACCCAGAAGGUUUUUGUUGCGUAAUUUCCAUGUACGACGGCGUAGUCCUGUACACGACGCCGAGUCUCACGAAUUUAUUAGGAUUCCCGAAGGACAUGUGGUUGGGUCGUUCUUUCAUCGAUUUCGUUCAUCCCAAAGAUAGAGAGACAUUUUCCGCUCAGGUUACUACGGGUAUUACAAUUCCACUGACUGAUUCCGCUGGAAAAAAUAUGAAAAACUCGUUCUACGUCUUUUUGAGGAAAUACAAAGGUCUCAAAACGACCGGUUUCGGGGUGGUUGAGAAAACUGUCUCCUAUCAGGCCUUCCAACUGACAGCCACAUUUAGGCAUAUCAACGAUUCGCAGGAAACGAAACAUUCGAGCAGUAUUGGCGGAAUAUUUCUUAUCAUUGUUGCCGUUCCGGUAACGUCGUCGUUCAAAGCACCCAACGAGGAGAAAAAUCUUCCUAAAUUCAACAUGCAUCAUACCGCGGCUAGUACAGUAACAUACGUGGAUUCAGAUAUCGUUAAAAAUUUCGGGUUUAUGCCUCAGGACAUUCUAGGACGUUCCGUUUUCGAUUUUUAUCAUCCUGAGGACAUGCCACUACUUAAGGAGGUUUACGAAGCAGCUUUAAGCCAAUGCCAGAUCGCCGGUGCCGUUUAUAGAAGUAAACCUUACAGAUUUGCAGUCCAAAACGGUGGUUUUGCUACCAUUGAGACUGACUGGUCGUGCUUUUUCAACCCAUGGUCUAGAAAAUUAGAAAUCGUUAUAGGAAUGCAUAACAUCUUAAAGGGACCCAGUAAUCCAGACGUUUUCGGCGUUUGUAAAGAAAAAGAGAUAAACAGCGUUUCAGAAGAGAUCCUGAAGAAGGGCGAUAUUGUGAGGGAAGAAAUUUUGAGGCUACUUAAUCAUGAGCGCACAAAGCCGACGGAAGAAGCGAGACAGGAAGUGACGAAACGAUGUAAGGAUCUCACAAAAUUUAUUGAGAAAGUUAUGUCUGAAGUGGCCAGGCCGAAUGUCAAGACUGACUCGCCGGAAAAUUCUAGCGUUAGUGUCCUUGACCGGGAGUUCGUCGUUUUGGGGGAAGUUUCGCCACACAAUGAUUAUUACGAUCAGGCAUCCAGUGAAACGCCUCCCAGUUAUUAUCAGCUCAAUUAUAAUGAGAAUAUUCAUCGAUUCUUUGAAAGCAAACCUCGUACGAAAACUUCUGAAGAAGGAGGACAACCCUCCACAGGGCCGGACUCGGAACAAGAGGGAAAAAGUGUAUCUCCAGCUCAUGAUGACAGCAUGGGUAGUAUUGGAAAGAGUUACAGUCCAAUUCAGAACAGAGAAAGCAGAAGUGGAAGUGGAAAUUUAAGUUCAGCUAGCAACGUUAAUAUGGAAACUGUCGGUACUAGUGGUAAUGGAUCGAAUGAUUCUUACAAUUCACCGCAUCUUACCGAAGCACUUCUAUCAAAGCACAAUAAAGAAAUGGAAAAGAUAAUGAGGAAAAGGUACCGAGAAUAUCGAUCAACUGUUAAAGAAAAGGACGGGAAAUUGUAUAAGAACAAUAAGAAAACACAAAUGGUAUCAAACGCCGUUGAGAAGAAUGAUAGAAAUCCAAACUGCGUCAACCAUCCUCAUGGAGUAAAGAGAAGUGGAUCAAGGUCUUGGGAGGGUGACCAUCAUAAAAUUACUAAGCAUAAACAUCAAAUAAAUCUUAACCCGGCUAAAGGCGAAACUGGGACUGGAGAUAAUAACAAUUUUAAUAAUUUACGAACCCCUCAAGACACACUGAGAGAAGAAAAUUAUUAUAUGCCACAGAUUAACGAUACCAAUCUCUGGCCGCCUUUCUCAUUGUCUGUCACCCCAGUUAACAAUUCCUACACAUUCACCAGAAACGAAGGUGUCAAAAACAAUAGCGGAUUUGCCGGAUUGUUUCCAGUUUACUUUGUGCCAACACAAAGCGAGCAACCACCGAUUCAAAACACUAAUGACACUUACCGACCCAGCCCCGUUCAAGUGCAAUAUAUGCCGAGUAUGAUGUACAAUUGCCAGUCAGUAUUCCCGACGACUUCUUCCAUUUUUUGUCCUCCCAUGGCUUUCGUACCAUUACCGUUCCAACAACCAUCGCAACCGCCCCCGCAAAAAGAAGUCAUUGGCGGUGGUCAUCCGACAUCGUGUGUCGAUACUUCGAAUAUGCAGGGACAAAGAUCCUCAUUGAAUUCAAAUCCGUUCCUUCGGAGAUCGUCUUCGCAGGUUACAUCGAUUAAAGUAGAACCCGGAAGCGGAAUAGGAUCUGUCACAUCCGCCAGCUGUCUGAACAAGGCAAUUUCGGAUUGUUCUCGAAAGGACUUCGAAAUGCAAUCAGGAUCUUCCCAGGCUUUUUCGAUUAUUGACACGCCUGUUGACGGACCGAGUGUUGGUAACUACAAGACAACAGAAUCGAAUCAGCUAUCAAAAAUGCCGGAAAUGCAAGAGAGUGACGGUACUGGUGACGGAAGUAGUCAUUCAUCCUUAUAUUCAUCGUUCCUGAAGACUACCGAUCCAGGUUCCGACCCUAAUGACAAUUCUUCAGCGUCAGACAAUCGAAAUGCAUCGAGUAACAAUUUUUAUAAGAAACCGACUGUUUAUCCUGUUCGGAAUCGGGACCCUCCAUGGCUGGAGACGGUGUCAGUUACGCCCGAUUUAAUCUACCGAUAUCAGGUUUCACAAAAAACGAUGGACGAAAUACUGAAAUCUGAUAUGAAUUCGUUGAAGGGAGUACAUCAGAGAUUGUAGGUAAACGAGAGAGUUCCGGUCCAGAGAAAAGCGAUGCGAAGGAUAAUGGUCGGGGAACGGAGUCGGAGUGUAUUGGGACCAGUGGCGUAGGGCGAGGGAACGUGUCCAGUAUGGAAAUCAUUUACGUAGGGGGUAGAGGUUGUAGCCCACGCUGGUUAACGAUCAGUUGGAUCAGUUGUAUGUGGAAAUGGAAUUACAAGGUCUUUCGUCUAGACUUACAUUAGAAGAG